AAAGAGCGCCGGAGGUCCCUGCAUAUACCAUAGGACGGAAUACCUAAGAUGGACCCAAAUGCUAGUGAACACAGAACCUUCAAAACGGUAUUAAUCGCUCUUCAUCUUUGACAGAGGCCGAUAAUAGAAUGCAUAACUACGAAGGGUGAAAAUAUAACAAAAUUGCUUGAAUUAAGCAGAAGUACACAUAUUGUUGCAACUGAAGCUCCUUGAGAUAAAUUAUGUCCACCAUUUUAGCAGAACGAUCCAUUAUAUAUCAUCUAGCUAGCGUGAUGUGAUAUUUAAGGCAGUUAUGAUCUAUGCCUUUGUAAAUAAUGGAGAAAGGCUCAAUACAAUUUUUCUUUCAUGACAAUAUCAAUAGUAUCAAAUUUACCUGUGAUGACAUGACCUGCAUGGGAAAAGCAAAUCAUAAGGUUAUACAUCACAAAAAUAUUCUUUUUUCCUUUGAUGGUUCAUUCCACUACAGCUGGUUGGUAUACCCUACUACAGACAGGAAAUCGGUCCUGUUUACUUUGAGAUCUCAACAAAUGUAACAUAUUUUAGAUGUGCUGUGAGGGCUCAGGAAGGCAAGUGUGUUUGAUCUUGUUUAUGAAAGCGACUCAGUUGGUAAAGGGACAGACAACGUUUGAGCAUGGUAGAUUACUACCUGUAUUAGUACUCCAUACUGACAAGGCUGCUGUCCAGAAUAGACAUAACAUCUUGCUGUGGUAUGGUGUGGAGAGUUUCACUGGGUAUCACAGACCAGUUGAAUAUUCAACAAUGAUCGCGGGCCAUGCGGAGUUUGAAUCUGACUGGCACUUUUGAAUUUAGAAAAAUCUAUAGAAGAGAGUGAAUACUGAGACAUUCAAUACAUGAUAUUGCAGACACAGUGUAUCAGUCAUCAAAGAAAGAUCAUAACAUUGACAAGUUGGUCAACAAUGAUUUAAAUCCUGUCACAUUCUACCAGUGGAGAAAUAUCUCAUCACAAUAUUUAAACUUUUGACGAACAUAACCAAGUACAGUCAAACUCGCUUUAUACGAACUCUUCGGGAGCUGGGAAAUAUGCUCGUAUCAAACGAAAUUCGUAUUAACGAGUGUAUGACUCCCGGAUAAUUUGCCCGAGCAAGUUGGGCAGUAUCACCGAUAUCGCCGGUGAAUAGCUUCCGAUAAAUAAAAAUACAGUAGUGAAUAGAUGUUCAUUAGUAGUUUUAAUUGAUCAAGUGAGUGUAUUCAGUUAACAGUGAAACAAGUCAACAAAAUUCAUACUUAAACUCGUAAAAAUAUAUGAAAAAUAAAUUUUACUGUACAAAUGUAUUGAAUCAUCAAGUGUUUAUAGCACAUAUAGAUCUAGCACAUAUAGAUACACAGGAAACGUACAAUGAAAUUAUAUUUUCAUGGACAGGUGUACAAAUGACAGUGACUAUCGCUCAAUUGCUAAAGACAUUAUUACUUGAAUUCGAUUGUGAUGAAUAAAAUAACUGCAUGCAUAGUGUUAAUCUCUUUAUUAUGUAUUUAUCGAUUACAGGUGAUAAUCACUUCGACUAAAUAUCAGCACUGUACGGAUUCAAACUGUUAAAAGACCAAGCGAAGCAAAAAUAUGGCCGCCGACAUCUUAAAAUAGUUCGUAUAAAAAAAUGGAAACUUGUAACAUUUUAGCUCAUUGGGACUUCCAAAAUGUGUUCGUAUCUCCCGAAAAUUCGCGAGUUCGCUAUAUCCGAAAUAAUUUUACAAAGAAAUAGAAGGACUCAGUCGGGGAAUCCGGGUUUUGUUCGUUAUUGCCGAAAAUUCGUAUCCAGCGAGUUCGUAUUAAGUGGACUCGACUGUAUUACUACUUUAUCAUGUCUGCAGAAACACCUGGAAUUGUUAGUGUUAAAUGUGACAGUCUAGUUAAGACAGUUAACUUACUAAAAUCUACUACCCCUAAAGGUGCAAUACCAAACAAAUAUUAUUGACAUGGAAUGACACAAGCUUGACAAUGGUACCUGUACACAUCAGAGAAUACUAUUUGUCUGAAAAGCCAAAGGACUCAGUUUGUCCCAAACCACUUGUUCUGAAAAUUGAAAUUGUGAUUGACGAGGACAUUUCUGAGAACUGGAAAAAGUGAAGUGAAUGUAAAAGAUAGAAAUUGUUGUUGAAUUCAAACGUUUUAAUACACAACACUUUAGCCUGUUUUGCUGUUCAUAUAGGUGUGUUUAGCUGUUAAAGUUAAACAUCAAGUAAAGGUUGCUUCAAAGCAAACAUUGAAAAAGAAAAAUAAGUUGUUAUGAUUUAAACAAAAAUGUGUGCAAUUUUGAACAAAUGGUUGCUCACUGAUUUUUUUCAACUUUUACAUACAUUAAUAUUUCAUUUGGGUUAAACAUUCUAUAGUUUAGAAUUUCAUUCAUGUGAUAUAGUGUAGGCUUUAAGUAUUACAUAACCGCCAUAUAAGAUUCAGUGAUUACUUUCAAUGAAUAAUUAUAAAUGAUAAAUGUUUAUCAAAAUAUCCAAAAACGCGUUUCUUCGACUAUGUUUUACAGAUGAUGCUAUAGUACAUGCAGUUAACUCAGUCAAAAGAGCCCCAUUCUGAAAGCUAGGGUUCCCGGGUUAGAAGCACAGAAUGACUACAUAUGUUUCUCACUGUUAAGGUUCUUAAUGUAAUGUCUUUCUAAUGAUAAAAUAUCCUAUUUCAUAAAAUUAUGGUAAUGAUAUCUCAUAGAAAUUAAAUUGUAGAAAGUAUAGUACUUGAUAACUGACAUUGUACACUCAUUUUCAUAGCUUCAUCGCAAGAAGAUUGUCUGUCAUGCUUUAGCAGAAACAUGAUAAAAGUACAAUAGAUUCUUCCAUUUUUGGAUUGCAAUAUAUUUAUAAAAAAUAUUCUGUUUAGCGCAAUUUUCCGGUAUUUUAGAUUAACAAUUAAAAGAUUCACCAAUAUGGGAAUACAAUGUAUGUAAAGUGUAAUUUUAUAUAACAUAACUUUCAUAUUGCAUACGGCAGGGCGAUACCUUCAUCUAUACAUUUGGAUCUGUGUUUUAUACCACAACAUAGUUUUGUAAAAAGUAUAUAUCGUGGUUGAAUUGUGAAGUCUAGCGUUAAGACAAACAAUUACCAUACACAUACCUUUAAUCGAAUGACAAGAGCAGAAAAGAACGUUAUAUAAGGGUAGCUUAUCUUAAAUACGUGUGAAAUUUAAGUGCAAAAAAAAUACAUUUAUCAAUAAAAUUUAGAAAAAAAGCACAGAAUUGCAAGUCUGGUGCUUUUCCUUUACGACUGAAUAUAGCAUGCAUACAACUGACAAGUAUUAAAACGUUUUAACCAAAACCAACACAUAUGUACUCAUUCGCAUAUUGAAGAAAAAUUGUAUUAUACUUAUAAUAAGUGAAAUAAAAGACUUUUUCAAAUCUUAGUAAUCCAUUAUAAAAUAUAAAAUUCAUUCUUAAUGCUUUGAAAUAUCAACAUACUAAAUAAUGAAUUUUGUUAACAAAACUGGUUUAUUUAGAGCGAUUGAAAGAAAGAAUAAUGGAUAUCAAGCAAAUCAAAUUACAAUAAACAGGAACUAGAAUUACACAGAAAAUGCACAUGGAAACGGAGCCUAGUUCUAGCAGUCUUGCCUUUUUCAAUCUCAUCAUAGUGAAAACAUUUAAAUCGUAGCCAGUUAAACACAUUUCUCGAUGGAAAAACUACAUAAUUUCCAGUAAAAUCUAACAUGAACCCUUCCUUUAUAUUUUUAUCACUUUUCUUGACAGGACUAAGGACCAGCUCUAUUACAAUAUACAUGUCCCUAUUAUAAAGCUCUUUUAACUAUAGAUAAUUUCAGCAACUGUUCGUUAAUGAACUGAUAACGCUGUAAAUUUUUUACCAUAAUGUAUUUAUCUUGGUCAGUUUUGGUGAUAAAACAAUAACAAUAAAAAUGGUACCAAAAUAGGGUUUUGACCGUGCACUUUUUGUGAGCAAUAUUCUUACAUUAAUAAACUAUAAGAAUAUUCUUGAAUACUAGUGAAAAUGUACAAAAUGACGCUAUUGUGUUUAGAAUAGAAUUUUCUACGUUUCAAAUCAAUACUAAUUUAUCGAACAAUUUUGAUUUGGUCUUAAAAUCUCUCAGUAUUUUCUUCAAAAGUAUUUUGUUACCCUGAAGUCCAAU